CCUACGGGGUGCAGCAGUAAGGAAUAUUGGGCAAUGGACGCAAGUCUGACCCAGCCAUGCCGCGUGGAGGAUGAAGGCCUCUGGGUUGUAAACUUCUUUUUUGAGAACUUCGGUACCAGAUGAAUAAGCACCGGCUAACUCCGUGCCAGCAGCCGCGGUAAUACGGAGGGUGCAAGCGUUAUCCGGAUUCACUGGGUUUAAAGGGUGCGUAGGCGGGCAGGUAAGUCAGUGGUGAAAUCUUCGAGCUUAACUCGGAAACUGCCGUUGAUACUAUCUGUCUUGAAUAACGUUGAGGUGAGCGGAAUAUGUCAUGUAGCGGUGAAAUGCUUAGAUAUGACAUAGAACACCGAUUGCGAAGGCAGCUCACUAAACCUAUUGACGCUGAGGCACGAAAGCGUGGGGAUCAAACAGGAUUAGAUACCCUGGUAGUC
rnacentral:rRNA from 1 species